rnacentral:rRNA from 1 species
UUUAAUUCAAUGCAAAGUAAAGAACCUUAGCAGAGCUUAACAUGCAACGAAUCCUCUUGAAAGAGAGGGGUGUCUUUGCAAACACGAAUGCGAACACAGGUCGUGCAUGGUUGUUAUCAACUCGAGCCAUAAGGUGUUGGGUUACGUCCCGCAACGAGCACAGCUUUUGUGUUUAGUUUCCAUCGUCGAAUUCGGAACCUUGAAUAGACUGCUAAUGAUAAGCUAGAGUUCGAAUCAAGGGAGAUUGUCAUGAGUGAAGAGGUUAGGGAAA